rnacentral:rRNA from 1 species
CGAAGGGGCUAGCGUUGCUCGGAAUCACUGGGCGUAAAGGGUGCGUAGGCGGGUCUUUAAGUCAGGGGUGAAAUCCUGGAGCUCAACUCCAGAACUGCCUUUGAUACUGAAGAUCUUGAGUUCGGGAGAGGUGAGUGGAACUGCGAGUGUAGAGGUGAAAUUCGUAGAUAUUCGCAAGAACACCAGUGGCGAAGGCGGCUCACUGGCCCGAUACUGACGCUGAGGCACGAAAGCGUGGGGAGCAAACAGGAUU